rnacentral:rRNA from 1 species
GCAGUCUAUGAGGAAUUUNNCUUGCUAAUGGACUCAUGGCGGACGGGUGAGUAACGCGUAAAGAACUUGCCCUUUAGACUGGGAUAACAGAGGGAAACUUCUGAUAAUACUGGAUAAGUUAGUAUAUCGCAUGAUAUGCGAAUGAAAGCUACGGCACUAAAGGAGAGCUUUGCGUCCUAUUAGCUAGUUGGUAAGGUAAGAGCUUACCAAGGCGAUGAUAGGUAGCCGGCCUGAGAGGGUGGACGGCCACAAGGGGACUGAGAUACGGCCCUUACUCCUACGGGAGGCAGCAGUGGGGAAUAUUGGACAAUGGAGGGAACUCUGAUCCAGCAAUUCUGUGUGUGUGAAGAAGGUUUUAGGACUGUAAAACACUUUUAGUAGGGAAGAAAAAAAUGACGGUACCUACAGAAGAAGCAACGGCUAAAUACGUGCCAGCAGCCGCGGUAAUACGUAUGUUGCGAGCGUUAUCCGGAAUUAUUGGGCUUAAAGGGCAUCUAGGCGGUAAGACAAGUUGAAGGUGAAAACCUGUGGCUCAACCAUAGGCUUGCCUACAAAACUGUUGAACUAGAGUACUGGAAAGGUGGGUGGAACUACACGAGUAGAGGUGAAAUUCGUAGAUAUGUGUAGGAAUGCCGAUGAUGAAGAUAACUCACUGGACAGAAACUGACGCUGAAGUGCGAAAGCUAGGGGAGCAAACAGGAUUAGAUACCCUGGUAGUCCUAGCUGUAAACGAUGAUCACUGGGUGUGGGGAUGCGAAGUCUCUGUGCC